CGGCAACGGCUCAAAUUUGAAAUCUGGCCCCCCUCCGGGGUCCGAGUUGUAAUUUGCAGAGGAUGCUUCGGCGUCGGCCCCGGGUCAAGUCCCCUGGAACGGGGCGUCCCAGAGGGUGAGAGCCCCGUACCCCCCCGGUCGGCACUUCGCCGUGUGAAGCUCCUUCGA
rnacentral:rRNA from 1 species